GACGUAGGAUGCAAGCGUUAUCCGGAAUGAUUGGGCGUAAAGCGUCCGCAGGUGGCUAUGUAAGUCUGCUGUUAAAGAGCAAAGCUUAACUUUGUAAAAGCAGUGGAAACUACAUAGCUAGAGUGCGUUCGGGGCAGAGGGAAUUCCUGGUGUAGCGGUGAAAUGCGUAGAGAUCAGGAAGAACACCGGUGGCGAAGGCGCUCUGCUAGGCCGCAACUGACACUGAGGGACGAAAGCUAGGGGAGCGAAUGGG
rnacentral:rRNA from 1 species